UACGGGGGGGGUAAGCGUUGUUCGGAAUUACUGGGCGUAAAGGGCUCGUAGGCGGCCAACUAAGUCGGACGUGAAAUCCCUCAGCUUAACUGGGGAACUGCGUCCGAUACUGGAUGGCUUGGAUUUGGGAGAGGGAUGCGGAAUUCCAGGUGUAGCGGUGAAAUGCGUAGAUAUCUGGAGGAACACCGGUGGCGAAGGCGGCAUCCUGGACCAAUAUUGACGCUGAGGAGCGAAAGCUAGGGAAGCAAACGGG
rnacentral:rRNA from 1 species